AUUGAACGCUGGCGGCAGGCCUAACACAUGCAAGUCGAGCGGGGUUUUCGGACCUAGCGGCGGACGGGUGAGUAAUGCGUAGGAAGCUACCCGAUAGAGGGGGAUACCAGUUGGAAACGACUGUUAAUACCGCAUAAUGUCUACGGACCAAAGUGUGGGACCUUCGGGCCACAUGCUAUCAGAUGCGCCUACGUGGGAUUAGCUAGUUGGUGAGGUAAUGGCUCACCAAGGCGACGAUCCCUAGCUGGUUUGAGAGGAUGAUCAGCCACACUGGAACUGAGACACGGUCCAGACUCCUACGGGAGGCAGCAGUGGGGAAUAUUGGACAAUGGGCGCAAGCCUGAUCCAGCCAUGCCGCGUGUGCGAAGAAGGCCUUCGGGUUGUAAAGCACUUUCAGUAGGGAGGAAGCGUUGUGUGUUAAUAGUACACAGCGUUGACGUUACCUACAGAAGAAGCACCGGCUAACUCUGUGCCAGCAGCCGCGGUAAGAC
rnacentral:rRNA from 1 species